rnacentral:rRNA from 1 species
AGAGUUUGAUCCUGGCUCAGGAUGAACGCUGGCGGCGUGCUUAACACAUGCAAGUCGAACGAAGAUAUUUAGAAUGAGAGCUUCGGCAGGAUUUUUAUCUAUCUUAGUGGCGGACGGGUGAGUAACGUGUGGGCAACCUGCCCUGUACUGGGGAAUAAUCAUUGGAAACGAUGACUAAUACCGCAUGUGGUCCUCGGAAGGCAUCUUCUGAGGAAGAAAGGAUUUAUUCGGUACAGGAUGGGCCCGCAUCUGAUUAGCUAGUUGGUGAGAUAACAGCCCACCAAGGCGACGAUCAGUAGCCGACCUGAGAGGGUGAUCGGCCACAUUGGGACUGAGACACGGCCCAAACUCCUACGGGAGGCAGCAGUGGGGAAUAUUGCACAAUGGGCGAAAGCCUGAUGCAGCAACGCCGCGUGAAGGAUGAAGGGUUUCGGCUCGUAAACUUCUAUCAAUAGGGAAGAAACAAAUGACGGUACCUAAAUAAGAAGCCCCGGCUAACUACGUGCCAGCAGCCGCGGUAAUACGUAGGGGGCAAGCGUUAUCCGGAAUUACUGGGUGUAAAGGGAGCGUAGGCGGCAUGGUAAGCCAGAUGUGAAAGCCUUGGGCUUAACCCGAGGAUUGCAUUUGGAACUAUCAAGCUAGAGUACAGGAGAGGAAAGCGGAAUUCCUAGUGUAGCGGUGAAAUGCGUAGAUAUUAGGAAGAACACCAGUGGCGAAGGCGGCUUUCUGGACUGAAACUGACGCUGAGGCUCGAAAGCGUGGGGAGCAAACAGGAUUAGAUACCCUGGUAGUCCACGCCGUAAACG